AGCGAACGCUGGCGGCAGGCUUAACACAUGCAAGUCGAGCGGGCGUAGCAAUACGUCAGCGGCAGACGGGUGAGUAACGCGUGGGAACGUACCUUUUGGUUCGGAACAACACAGGGAAACUUGUGCUAAUACCGGAUAAGCCCUUACGGGGAAAGAUUUAUCGCCGAAAGAUCGGCCCGCGUCUGAUUAGCUAGUUGGUAGGGUAAUGGCCUACCAAGGCGACGAUCAGUAGCUGGUCUGAGAGGAUGAUCAGCCACAUUGGGACUGAGACACGGCCCAAACUCCUACGGGAGGCAGCAGUGGGGAAUAUUGGACAAUGGGGGCAACCCUGAUCCAGCCAUGCCGCGUGAGUGAUGAAGGCCCUAGGGUUGUAAAGCUCUUUUGUGCGGGAAGAUAAUGACGGUACCGCAAGAAUAAGCCCCGGCUAACUUCGUGCCAGCAGCCGCCGCCG
rnacentral:rRNA from 1 species